rnacentral:misc_RNA from 1 species
AAAUGGUACCCUUGUUUCGCUAUCAAUCCUUUUGCCAUAUUCCAUGCUAUAAUGUUUUCUGCACCAAUAAACAAUCUUGUAUAUGCAUGAUCCCUGCAUUCAAUUCAGGAUCAGCCAUAAACUCCUAAAGGGCAUUUUAGUUUAAAAUCACAAAGUCAAAACCAGUUUCAUCUAUUUUAAGUAAACACUUUGGUCCAGAACUAGAGAUUGAUGGGCUUGAGAGAUUUUUAUUAUGAGUUGAUAUUUGUUUAUAAUGAGCAAAUUCAAGUAUUAUCGCACACCUUUCAUGCUGUCUUGCUCUGCAAAGAUCUGAUCAUGUAAUUUUUCUUCAUUCUAGCAUCUCCCACAAUGCCUACUUUAUGUGCUUUGUUGGUUCUCUAUAUAUUUUCAACCACUUUUGCCCUAAAAAUGAAAGGUUCAUCUUCAUCAAUUCUGCUGCUUGUUACAUUCACUUGCAGGGUGCUUUUUCAUAUCAAUAAUCUUAAUAUCAUAAUCCUUUUUAUCAUUUAACA